rnacentral:lncRNA from 1 species
AAGGGGUGGAGCCUGGCUGCACCUCUCUUAGACCUCAUUUAAGGGCUGACUGCCACUGGGGAAGGAUCUCUUUCUGGAGAUCCCUUCUUUAUGGAGAUCUGCCUUUUCCCCCUGGGAGCUGAGAUGUUCAGAGAUGGAGAGGGAAAGGGAGAAAAUGGACUUCUUCAGUCAAAAAUGUACUCAGAACUUGGAAAAGUUGAUCCAGCGCUGCACUUGAGCAACUUUUAAUUGAGUCUGUUUAGUAGCAAGUCAUGUUCAUGAACAAAUGAAAAUCAGAAUUUGAAUUGGGACAAUAUCAAAUUGAAUUAGGUGAAGGUAAUGAUCUGGUUCUCAACUUACAUCAAUCAACUUAGCUUCAUCAGUUGAAGAAUGCGUGCCUGACCCACUUGCUGUUGUUAUUAGAGUUAUUCUACAACAAGAACAUUAAGCCAGUAAGAUGGAAAAGAACUGGCAGCUGGAACCACUGCUGAUCAUGAAGUCUCCAACAAGUCCAGAGAUCCUUCCUACAUACAGACAAAACUGUAAAAAGCAAACAAAAACUGCUUUUAUCACAAAAUGGAUCUCAAUUUUUGGCUGAGACUGCCUAUUUUUCUUGGUAAGCGCAGCUCUAGAUAUGCAGUGGUGCCAGAUGGGUAGCCUGACUUCAUUAAGGCAAGGAGAAAUUGGCAUGGACCUGCAUGUGCGUGACAUUAAAUUGACUGUUGUGGUGAAGGGAAGUUUCCAGCUUCAUAGUGAAUGCAUCUGGUGUUUCAGUGCUGCAAGGCAAUCAGGUUAUCGAUGGGGGACAAAUUCUUACUUUUUCAACUAGUUUUCAAGAAGUGCACUUCUAACAAAAUCCAUUGUGUUUUUUUGUUGUUGUUGUUGUUUGGUUGGUUGGUUUUUGCUGCUUUAGGCUUGUUUAUCACCACCUACAAUAAAUUCAUCUUGAGCAGUAGUGAACUUUGCUCCUUAAAGUGAUACAAUUUGAAAUUUACCUCUAACAUACUCUAUACUUGUCAGUAC